rnacentral:rRNA from 1 species
UACAGAGGGGGCAAGCGUUGUUCGGAAUUACUGGGCGUAAGCGUGCGCAGGCGGUGAUGUAAGACAGAUGUGAAAUCCCCGGGCUCAACCUGGGAACUGCAUUUGUGACUGCAUCGCUGGAGUACGGCAGAGGGGGAUGGAAUUCCGCGUGUAGCAGUGAAAUGCGUAGAUAUGCGGAGGAACACCGAUGGCGAAGGCAAUCCCCUGGGCCUGUACUGACGCUCAUGCACGAAAGCGUGGGGAGCAAACAGG